GACGUAGGGCGCGAGCGUUGUCCGGAUUUAUUGGGCGUAAAGAGCUCGUAGGCGGCUUGUCGCGUCGUCUGUGAAAACCCGCGGCUCAACGGCGGGCUUGCAGUCGAUACGGGCAGGCUAGAGUGUGGUAGGGGGAGAUCGGAAUUCCUGGUGUAGCGGUGAAAUGCGCAGAUAUCAGGAGGAACACCGGUGGCGAAGGCGGAUCUCUGGGCCAUUACUGACGCUGAGGAGCGAAAGCGUGGGGAGCAAACAGG
rnacentral:rRNA from 1 species